AACACUGUUAACCUGCGGUACCUGCGGAGGGAUCAUUACCGAGUGUGGUCCCAUAAGGGGCGCCUCCCGUCCUUUGCAGGGCCUUUAGGGGCUUUUUGACUUUGCUUCGGCGGGCUUGCCCCGCCGGAACACCCUCAAGAAAAUCUUUAUGAACCGUUUGUCUGAGUUGCUUGCGAAUAAAAACAAAACUUUUAACAACGGAUCU
rnacentral:misc_RNA from 1 species